CAUAACCUUCAAAAUAUUAUCAAUAAAGAAAGAAACACCGCAAAUAAGAAGUCUUACCCAGGAAGAAGUAUUUCAAAUGAUGGAUUGGAAUAAUCGAUUUGUAAAGCUUAUAUCGCCUCAAGGCGAAGUAAACUUGGUUCCCCCAAUGCUAAUAUCGAGAUUCAGCAAUCUCGAAAUAAAUCCAAUGGAUAAUUCAAUCAAGGAUAAUAAUAUGCUUUUUAGUUCAUUUCUUAUUAUGGGCGAUGUUGUGGAUAUACAAUGUCAGAGAGGAAAAUAUUUUUUGAAAAUUGAUGAUGGCACUGGUAUAAUGGAAAUGAUGAUGAUAAGUUCUGAUGAAGAGAAGCAGCAAUACUUGUAUGAGACUUCAAAAAUAAAUCCUGAGGAUUAUCUAAUGAAUUUGGUGAAACUGGUACGAGAGGAAAUGACGAAUACCUGCCCACCUGUUUCUAGUUUAAAGAUCGGCGAUUGCCUAUUGAUCCAUGCCCAAAUAUCAAGUAAGAAAAACGAAGACGAAUGCAAAAUCAGCGCUUUCAAGUUUCAUAGGAUGCCCAAACUCAAUGUAACUGAAAAGAAGUAUGACUGGUACUUUAGUUGUUUGAAUUACUACUUGAAGAAGAUGAAUAAACCAUAACUAA